GACGAACGCUGGCGGCGUGCUUAACACAUGCAAGUCGAACGGAAAGGCCCUGCUUUUGUGGGGUGCUCGAGUGGCGAACGGGUGAGUAACACGUGAGUAACCUGCCCUUGACUUUGGGAUAACUUCAGGAAACUGGGGCUCAUACCGGAUAGGAUCUCCUGCUGCAUGGUGUUGGUUGGAAAGUUUCGGUGGUUGUGGAUGGACUCGCGGCUUAUCAGUUUGUUGGUGGGGUAGUUGCUUACCAAGGCUUUGACGGGUAGCCGGCCUGAGAGGGGGGCCGGCCACAUGGGGACUAGGAUACGCCCCAGACUCCAACGGGAGGCAGCGGUGGGAAAUAUUGCACAAGGGCGGGAAGCCUGAGGCAGAAACGCCGCGGGCGGAAUGCCGGCCUUCGGGUGUAAAACCGUUUUCGCAUGUGACGAGGCGGGAGUGACGGUAAUGGGUAAAGAAGCACCGGCUAACUACGUG
rnacentral:rRNA from 1 species